rnacentral:rRNA from 1 species
GAUGAACGCUGGCGGCGUGCCUAAUACAUGCAAGUCGAGCGAACAGACGAGGAGCUUGCUCCUCUGACGUUAGCGGCGGACGGGUGAGUAACACGUGGAUAACCUACCUAUAAGACUGGGAUAACUUCGGGAAACCGGAGCUAAUACCGGAUAACAUGUUGAACCGCAUGGUUCAACAGUGAAAGACGGUCUUGCUGUCACUUAUAGAUGGAUCCGCGCCGCAUUAGCUAGUUGGUAAGGUAACGGCUUACCAAGGCAACGAUGCGUAGCCGACCUGAGAGGGUGAUCGGCCACACUGGAACUGAGACACGGUCCAGACUCCUACGGGAGGCAGCAGUAGGGAAUCUUCCGCAAUGGGCGAAAGCCUGACGGAGCAACGCCGCGUGAGUGAAGAAGGUCUUCGGAUCGUAAAACUCUGUUAUUAGGGAAGAACAAAUGUGUAAGUAACUAUGCACGUCUGGACGGUACCUAAUCAGAAAGCCACGGCUAACUACGU